GGGGAUGCCUCGUUUCGACAAUGUGACAAUUGUUAUACGUGCGUGGUGGAAGUGUGCUGACUUCCUUAAAACAGUACAAACAUACCUGCAAAAUCUGCAGUCAAAAGUCCAUACUUCACAGUAUCGGAUUUCGCUUACGCUCUUGCAUAAAGAUUCUUGUCCUUCGGGACAAGUUGCCUAAGCGACGUCUUCUGACAUCUUCGUUCGAGAGGUGUUAGCGGGUGUAAACCAAUUCGAACUAGCGUACUCGGAUGUUCCGACGAAUACGUAACACUAAUCGGUUCUGGCACGCUAUCGUUUCGCCUGUCUUUAAGAUAGUGUGUAAGACCUCAAGACAACGCUAGAUUACGUAGACUCGUAUGGCAUUACAUAUUGGACGUGGGGUCAAACCCACCAUCUCCACAU
rnacentral:tmRNA from 1 species